rnacentral:rRNA from 1 species
ACGCACGCUGGCGGCGUGCCUAAUACCUGCAAGUAGAACGCUGAAGAGAGGAGCUUGCUCUUCUUGGAUGAGUUGCGAACGGGUGAGUAACGCGUAGGUAACCUGCCUUGUAGCGGGGGAUAACUAUUGGAAACGAUAGCUAAUACCGCAUAACAAUGGAUGACACAUGUCAUUUAUUUGAAAGGGGCAAUUGCUCCACUACAAGAUGGACUUGCGUUGUAUUAGCUAGUAGGUGAGGUAAUGGCUCACCUAGGCGACGAUACAUAGCCGACCUGAGAGGGUGAUCGGCCACACUGGGACUGAGACACGGCCCAGACUCCUACGGGAGGCAGCAGUAGGGAAUCUUCGGCAAUGGGGGCAACCCUGACCGAGCAACGCCGCGUGAGUGAAGAAGGUUUUCGGAUCGUAAAGCUCUGUUGUAAGUCAAGAACGGGUGUGAGAGUGGAAAGUUCACACUGUGACGGUAGCUUACCAGAAAGGGACGGCUAACUACGUG